rnacentral:rRNA from 1 species
UGGGGAAUAUUGGACAAUGGGGGAAACCCUGAUCCAGCGACGCCGCGUGAGUGAAGAAGUAUUUCGGUACGUAAAGCUCUAUCAGCAGGAAAGAAAAUGACGGUACCUGACUAAGAAGCCCCGGCUAACUACGUGCCAGCAGCCGCGGUAAUACGUAGGGGGCAAGCGUUAUCCGGAUUUACUGGGUGUAAAGGGAGCGUAGACGGCAGCGCAAGUCUGGAGUGAAAUGCCGGGGCCCAACCCCGGAACUGCUCUGGAAACUGUGAAGCUGGAGUGCAGGAGAGGUAAGCGGAAUUCCUGGUGUAGCGGUGAAAUGCGUAGAUAUCAGGAGGAACACCGGCGGCGAAGGCGGCUUACUGGACUGUAACUGACGUUGAGGCUCGAAGGCGUGGGGAGCAAACAGG